rnacentral:lncRNA from 1 species
UGGGUUGGUAACAUAAUGGUGGUAAUUGAAGAUGACUGAUGUUGUCCAAUAGGAUUGACUCCAUUCCUGCAGAAGUCUCUUUAUUCAAGUUCGGGUAAGCAUUUCUGCAUCUGUGAUGAAUUGAUUAUUUUAUCAAAUUCAAUGACAACAUCUAAAGAAGGCAUUCUUUGCUGAACCAACCAUCAUAAUUGACAUGACAACAUCAAAGGCUUUCUAAAGGGUGAAAUGGUUCUUAAGCAUGAUAGUCAAUUGUUUAAUUAAAGCAAGAAUCAUGAGUUCUACAAACUGGGGGAAUCGAAACUCUUUCAAAAUUCUUGGGUACUCUUCCUGCUCCGGAAACGAACCCAAUUUCCUCUUCUCUUGGUGCUUUCUCUAAUCUAUCGGAUUUGUGAAUUUCCGUUUGGGUAGAAAACAUGCAUAUCAUCCGCACGCAUCAACAAACACCCCGCUUUCGAGCGCUUCAUUCUUAAGCGCUUCAUCAACAACCAUCAUAAUUGACAUGACAACAUCAAAGGCUUUCUAAAGGGUGAAAUGGUUCUUAAGCAUGAUAGUCAAUUGUUUAAUUAAAGCAUUAGGCUGAUUACUACUUUUGUGUCAGUUUUAUAAGUUUUUCCGAUGUGAUUUGUUGGUUGAAUUGGGUUAAUCUGAGUUGCUGGAGCUGGACUCUCAUUGGUCAAAAUAUUCCUGUUAUUUUUGCAUCAAAAACUCACUUCAUUUUCCUUACCUUGAAAUGUAAGAAAACAUAACAUAAUGUAUUUUUCAAGGAAGCUUUUAGUGAAUGAAGUACAUGAUUGAUGAGGCAUUAAAGCCAAGUAAGAGAAGAAAGAACUAAAUUCUAAGUUAAACUUUUAUAUAUGUGACCGGAACCGGAAAAUCAUUACUAAUGUAUGGUUUUUGUUAACUGUACAAAACAUUAUAAUGCUUUGUUUAGUGUUCAAAUGAUGUUUUUUUGUUCAUAAUUAUAUAUUUGCUUUCCUGGAUAUGAAUAGGUGAGAUUUUAAGAUGUUUGUUUGAACUUUUUUAGUGCAAAAUAGAAUGAGAGAUAAUUAUGCAACUGUUCCUACCUCAUAACAUGACCUUUCUAACCAUUUUCCGUUUUAGUGAGUACUUGCAUAUGUUGGCCUUCUAUGAUGCAUGUUUGAUGCAGGUGACUUUGGUCCUGCUAGAUAGUUGGGGCCCCAAGUUAUAAGUGCUUGGAGCUGCUUGCUGAUUUACCGUAUGGCUUCAACUUAGAUAUUUGCUCUUUGGGUAAGAAAGGUCUCUUAUAUGUUUAAAGCUUCAUUAUGUUCAAACCUUUUAUUAACUAUUUUCUACUACUUAUAAUUGUAAAAGGUAGAGAAAAAAUUAUGACCUUUGUUGUUGGUUGGAUUAUCUAAAUUUGAGAAAUGCUUGCUGCAAGGCUAUAUAUAAAUUACAAAGCUUCAUCCAUGUUUUACUUAUAACAAGAAGAAAGUCCCUUUUCUAUUUUAUUUGAUGAUGUUCGAUUAUUUGUUGGAUAGUAAUUUUAACUUUAUAUUUUCCUUUUCAAUUUAUAUAACCUAUAAAUCUGUCAUCUCAGAAAUGUGGAGACAAGUGCUUGCUUUACUUGAAAAAGUCAUAGAGAAAUUGUGAAAGCCAUAAUUUUAUGUAAAUUAUAUGAACUGAUAAGGAUUCUUUAAUUCCGCUAUUUCUCUAUUGAGAGUCCCACAUUAACUAGAGAUGUGACCAAAUAAUCAUUAUAAAGGCUAGAGCAAUCCUCACUUUUAAGCUAGCUUUUGAUGUAUAGCUGCUACCACUACUAAUCCUUCUGUCCCUUUGGCUUUUUUCAGAGGAAUAUAAAGUUUUGGUUAAUUUCAAAGUGAGAGAGAAUGAGAGAGGGAACUCAGUUUUUUGGGGGAUGUGAAGAGUGAGCAGUGGAUGAAUGAGAAAAUGCAUUGACAAUCUUUGUUACUUACUCACUACUCAACUGUGUUUGUUUCUAUGUUCAUUUCUUCACUCUUUCUCUCUCUUUAAUCAUUAUCAUCAUCACCAUCAUAUUCUUCUUCUUACCUUCAAUCUUCUUGCCUUAUUAGAUUCUUCUUUCUCUUAGAUUUUUUCCAACUCAAGUUAUUCCCUUUCUUUUCUCUUCUUUCUUUCUCACUCACUUUGUUUCUAACAUGACUUCCUAGAAAGUGGUUUCUCACUUUCUCUAAGUUUGUUUUAAUUUUACCUUAAAAUCGAUUCUAAGUUACAACUUAUAGUUUGUGACUUAUCUCAAGAUGUUUCUUGUGCAUUUUGGCAUUGAAUGAGCAUAAGGUUGCAAGGUGAAUUUGGAACCUCUAAAUGUGAUAACAUAUUGAUUAAGCAUGAGUAUAGAUGUCCACCUUGUGACAUAUGUAUAUCGUUCCAAAAAUAAUUUAGCCACUAGAUUUGCAUUAAAAUCUUAUAAUGGUAGACUAUGACAUAUCUUUUUUGUACAAUUUUAUUGAUUGGUAGCGGGACACAGCUUCUUUAAAAAGAGUACUUAUAAGUUAUAAUUCUUAUGUGCAGGUAUAUAUGAGAAUCCACACAAAUAAAAAUAGUUGUCAUCAUGGUUGAUACACCAUAAUAAAAAAUUUGUGGGAUCUUGAUACAAAGAGGUGGCUGUCUUGUGGAUUAUAGACAUCUCCUUGAUGUGCUUUGUUGUGAAUUGGAUGUGCUUUGUGGUGAGCUAUAGUCUGUGGUUUUCUGUGAACUGUUAUGGGAUGUAGUGUUAUAGGUGUUAUGUUCGUUAUGCUUUUUAUUCUACUCUGCGUUUUCUUUUUUCUUGACCAUAAGUUUAUAUUUUUCUGCCCUGUUGGUUUCAAUAGUUUUUUUUUAUUUCAGAGUCAAUGUAUGAGGAAGAAGUUGAUUGAAGAGUUAAGACCAGUAAAGGAAUUGAGAGAGGGAGAGAAAAAAUCGUAGGAAUGAAACAAGGAAUACAGU